UCCUUCCGGCGGGAAAGAGCUCCUUCCGGUUUCCGGGUGUGGGGAGGAAGUCCCUCCCCCCAUGCAACAGCGUAACAUAGCGGGACGCGCCCGCGGAGUUCUGGAACCAGGAAGUCCGAAAUGAAGGUGUCAGCAGGAUCACGCUUCCUCUGAAACUCUGGGAUGAAUGAAAAUGAUAUCAGAGAAAACCUCAGACCAUCAUGAAUGAAUAAAGAGGACAAACAAAAACCAGAACAGUUCCAAUGGCUACCAGAGAAGAGGUGGAUGGAAGGAUGGGUGAAAUAGAUAAAUGCGAUUAAGAGUAUACUCACCUUGACGAGCCCCGAGAAAGGCACAGAAUCGUCGGAUCAUCAUGUUGUACGCCUGAAACUAAUAUAACAUUGUGGGAUGUCUGGAGAAGACAGGUCUCCGCUGAUGACCGGCAGAAGGAACUGGCACCCCCCCCUGCGCAAACAGGCUGUUGUCCGCUGCUGGACACUGGUGCGGGGCCCACGUGGGCGUGUGCUGUGGCCAUGGGGAGAUCAUCCGCCUCGAAGGCAGGAAUGUAAUCA